AACGAACGCUGGCGGCAUGCCUAACACAUGCAAGUCGAACGAGACCUUCGGGUCUAGUGGCGCACGGGUGCGUAACGCGUGGGAACCUGCCCUUAGGUUCGGAAUAACUCCCCGAAAGGGGUGCUAAUACCGGAUAAUGUCUUCGGACCAAAGAUUUAUCGCCUUUGGAUGGGCCCGCGUUGGAUUAGCUAGUUGGUAGGGUAAAAGCCUACCAAGGCGACAAUCCAUAGCUGGUCUGAGAGGAUGAUCAGCCACACUGGGACUGAGACACGGCCCAGACUCCUACGGAAGGGAGCAGUGGGGAAUAUUGGACAAGGGGCGAAAGCCUGAUCCAGCAAUGCCGCGUGAGUGAUGAAGGCCUUAGGGUUGUAAAGCUCUUUUACCCGGGAUGAUAAUGACAGUACCGGGAGAAUAAGCUCCGGCUAACUCCGUG
rnacentral:rRNA from 1 species